rnacentral:rRNA from 1 species
UACAGAGGAGCCAAGCGUUGUCCGGAUUGACUGGGCGUAAAGCGCACGCAGGCGGUUUGGCGCGUGGGGUGUGAAAUCUGGCCGCUUAACGGCCAGGCGCCAUCCCAUACGGCUAGACUGGAGUGAUGCAGAGGUCGGUGGAAUUGCCGGUGUAGUGGUGAAAUGCGUAGAGAUCGGCAGGAACACCCAGGGGAAACCAGCCGACUGGGCAUCGACUGACGCUGAGGUGCGAGAGCGUGGGGGAGCGAACCGG